rnacentral:rRNA from 1 species
GACGAACGCUGGCGGCGUGCUUAACACAUGCAAGUCGAGCGAUGAAGCUACUUCGGUAGUGAAUUAGCGGCGAACGGGUGAGGAACACGUGAGGAAUCUGCCUUCAACACUGGGAUAACUCCGGGAAACCGGGGCUAAUACCGGAUACGAGCUCUGACCGCAUGGUCGGGGCUGGAAAGUUUUUCGGUUGAAGAUGACCUCGCGGCCUAUCAGCUUGUUGGUGAGGUAAUGGCUCACCAAGGCGACGACGGGUAGCCGGCCUGUGAGGGCGACCGGCCAGACUGGGACUGAGACACGGCCCAGACUCCGACGGGAGGCAGCAGUGGGGAAUAUUGGGGAAUGGAGGAAACUCUGACCCAGCGACGCCGCGUGCGGGAUGAAGGCCUUCGGGUUGUAAACCGCUUUCAGUAGGGAAGAAGCGAAAGUGACGGUACCUACAGAAGAAGCACCGGCUAACUAUGUGCCAGCAGCCGCGGUAA